rnacentral:rRNA from 1 species
GAUGAACGCUGGCGGCGUGCCUAACACAUGCAAGUCGAGCGAUUUACUUCGGUAAAGAGCGGCGGACGGGUGAGUAACGCGUGGGUAACCUGCCUCAUACACAUGGAUAACAUACCGAAAGGUAUGCUAAUACAGGAUAAUAUAAGAGAUUCACAUGGAUUUCUUAUCAAAGCUCCGGCGGUAUGAGAUGGACCCGCGUCUGAUUAGCUAGUUGGUAAGGUAAUGGCUUACCAAGGCGACGAUCAGUAGCCGACCUGAGAGGGUGAUCGGCCACAUUGGAACUGAGACACGGUCCAAACUCCUACGGGAGGCAGCAGUGGGGAAUAUUGCACAAUGGGCGAAAGCCUGAUGCAGCAACGCCGCGUGAGUGAUGAAGGCCUUCGGGUCGUAAAACUCUGUCCUCAAGGAAGAUAAUGACGGUACUUGAGGAGGAAGCCCCGGCUAACUACGUGCCAGCAGCCGCGGUAAUACGUAGGGGGCUAGCGUUAUCCGGAUUUACUGGGCGUAAAGGGUGCGUAGGUGGUUUUUUAAGUCAGGAGUGAAAGGCUACGGCUCAACCGUAGUAAGCUCUUGAAACUGGAAAACUUGAGUGCAGGAGAGGAAAGUGGAAUUCCUAGUGUAGCGGUGAAAUGCGUAGAUAUUAGGAGGAACACCAGUAGCGAAGGCGGCUUUCUGGACUGUAACUGACACUGAAGGCACGGAAAGCGUGGGGGGAGCAAACAGGAUUAAGAUACCCUGGUAGUCCACGCCGUAAACCGAUGAGUACUAGGUGUCGGGGGUUACCCCCCUCGGUGCCGCAGCUAACGCAUUAAGUACUCCGCCUGGGGAGUACGCUCGCAAGAGUGA